rnacentral:rRNA from 1 species
GCGGGUUGUUAGGCGGUAAUGUACUACCUCUUUCCAUUCCGAAUAGAGAUGUAAAAGUUACUUGCGCCGAUGGUACUGCAUGGAUAUGUGGGAGAGUAGGUAGCAGCCUUGU